rnacentral:tRNA from 1 species
GUCUUCGUAGUGUAGUGGUCAGCACGCUCGAAAUGUAACCAAGAGGUCCGUGGUUCGAUUCCCGGCGAGGGCA